rnacentral:lncRNA from 1 species
GCUCUUGCUCCUUCGCCUGCUUGCUGUGUGAGACUGAGUAACUGCUAGAUCCUUGGACUUCCACUCACAGCUACUACUGAACCAUUGUUGGGAAUUGGGCUGCAGACUUCUGACUUCAGGUGUCUGACCCCACUUUCCACCUCAGCGGAGAUGGAGUCUCCUGCUCACCCCUGAACACGCCUGACGAGCAAGCCUGUGAGUUUCCGGGGUCCUCCUGUCUCUGCUUUCUACCUUGCUUUGGGGAACACUGGGAUUAUGAAUGCACGUCGUCACGCCCACCUUCUUGAACAUUGUGAAGAUCUGAACUCAGCUCAUGGUGCUUGUACAGUGAGCAUUGCACCCUCUGGGGAGUCACCUCAGCCCUUAGGUGGGGAAUUUUUAGAAAAAUAAUCAGAGAGAAAAAAAAAAGAACAGUGCUGAGCAUGGACAAGAGAUGAGGAAGAGAGAAACAUAGGGAGAUUUUAAGUCAAAGAAUGACUAAGUCCACAGAAGUAACACAGCAUAAAGACUAUAAUAAAUAGAGUAGUGUUAUGUUAGAGAUUAUUG